UACGGAGGGAGCUAGCGUUGUCCGGAAUCAUUGGGCGUAAAGAGCGUGUAGGCGGUCCGGUAAGUCCGCUGUGAAAGUCAGGGGCUCAACCCUUGAAUGCCGGCGGAUACUGUCGGGCUAGAGUCCGGAAGAGGCGAGUGGAAUUCCCGUGGUGUGACGGUGAAAUGCGCAGAUAUCAGGAGGAACACCGAUGACGAAGGCAGGUCUCUGGGCAUUAACUGACGCUGAGGAGCGAAAGCAUGGGGAGCGAACAGG
rnacentral:rRNA from 1 species